AGUGUUGGAGCUAGGGUUAGGGUUGGGCUUGGAGCUAGGAUUUUUCUGAGUGCACUGAACCAACUCCCGAGUCUCUAGGACGUUCCUAAAAAAUUUUGAUUUUUUUCCCAUAGGAAUGCAUGGGUUAGGGCUAGUGUUAGGGUUGGAGCUAGGGUUAGGGUUAGGGUUAGGGUUAGGGUUGGAGUUAGGGUUAGUGUUGGAGCUAGGGUUAGGGUUGGGCUUGGAGCUAGGAUUUUUCUGAGUGCACUGAACCAACUCCCGAGUCUCUAGGACAUUCCUAAAAAAAUUUGAUUUUUUCCCAUAGGAAUGCAUGGGUUAGGGUUAGGGUUAGGGUUGGAGCUAGGGUUAGGGUUAGGGUUAGGGUUGGAGUUAGGGUUAGUGUUGGAGCUAGGGUUAGGGUUGGGCUUGGAGCUAGGAUUUUUCUGAGUGCACUGAACCAACUCCCGAGUCUCUAGGACGUUCCUUAAAAAAAUUUGAUUUUUUCCCAUAGGAAUGCAUGGGUUAGGGUUAGGGUUAGGGUUGGAGCUAGGGUUAGGGUUAGGGUUAGG